rnacentral:lncRNA from 1 species
UUUACAUGAGUCUUGCGAGAUCUUUCAUCAACGAAUUCAUUAGUGCCCUUCCGAACAUGGGUCUGUGCAAAGACCUCAUCAACAUGGACGGCCCGUCCAAGAGCUUGUGCCUGUAACAUAAUUUAGACUUAUUAGUGUAUAUGAAAUAGAAAAUACAUAAGUUAUAUAUGAAAGAAACAAAAAAGUAAAGAAAGUUUACCAUACGAAUGGAAUGCUCGUGAAUUGUGAUCGACCCGCCAGUAUGGAGGGCACCACCCUUUUCACUCGCUCUGUUCCUCUGGUUUGUAACACUCUUCUUGCAGAACUCUACUGAAUUCCAAUGAGCAAAGUUAAAAAAGGGAUUAAAGUCUUACCCUUUUCCAUAUGGCUCAAUCCAUGGUCGAUCAUGGGGGAGCGGGUCAACAUCAUCACCAUCACCAUCUGAAACUGGAUCAGUAGAAGGUGCGACAGUCUCAGAAGGCGGUCUAGAAGAUGAGGAAGGUAUAAAAGUAGGGUCAGGGGGAGGAAGAGGCUCUUUUGUAGGGGUAGGAGAAGGGUGUAUAGUAUGAGUAGGGGGAGGGUGUACUGUAUGAGUAGGGGGAGGGUGUACUGUAGGAGUGGGAGGAGGAGGUACUGCAGGGGUAGGAGCGGGAGGGUGUACUGUAGGGGUAGGAGGAGGAGGGUGUAUUGUAUGAGUAGGGGGAGGGUGUACUAUAGGAGUAGGGGAAGGGUGUACUGUAGGAGUAGGGGUAGGUAGUGCAUCACGCACCCUAAGUACAUACUUUGUGGUCCGUUGCCUUUUUUUAGGCUUGGCUACCCCCUUCCUUUAUCAGGACGGUCUUUACCUUCUCCUGUCAUUACUGCAUUGAAUAUAUGUACAAAUAAAGUGAAGCAAUAGAAAAGACUAAGGAAGGAUCACUACAAAUUAAAGUGAAUUUCAAAUUAUUGCAUAAAAAAGUUAAGAUUGUCAAAUUAUUUCAAAUAAGGAAGGAUCACUCUAUUCAAAUGAUAGUUCACUUUGCUACAAUAUGUAAGAUAGUCGAACAUUCAAUCAUCGUCAUCAUGAUCCUCAUCUUCAUCUUCUUCAUCAUCAUCACCAUUUUCUUCUUCAUCGUCAUCAUCAUCUUCAUCUUCUACUUCAUCAUUUUCAUCAUCAUCUUCUUCUUCUUCUUCUUCUUCUUCAUCAUCACCU